rnacentral:rRNA from 1 species
GUAGGUGGCAAGCGUUGUCCGGAAUUAUUGGGCGUAAAGCGCGCGCAGGUGGGUUCUUUAAGUCUGAUGUGAAAGCCCCCGGGCUCAACCGGGGAGGGUCAUUGGAAACUGGGGAACUUGAGUGCAGGAGAGGAAAGUGGAAUUCCACGUGUAGCGGUGGAAUGCGUAGAUAUGUGGAGGAACACCAGUGGCGAAGGCGACUUUCUGGCCUGUAACUGACACUGAGGCGCGAAAGCGUGGGGAGCAAACAGGAUUAGAUACCCUGGUAGUCCACGCCGUAAACGAUGAGUGCUAAGUGUUGGGGGGUUUCCGCCCCUCAGUGCUGCAGCUAACGCAUUAAGCACUCCGCCUGGGGAGUACGGUCGCAAGACUG